CCUGGCGGCAAUAGCGCGGUGGACCCACCUGACCCCAUGCCGAACUUAGAAGUGAAACGCCGUAGCGCCGAUGGUAGUGUGGGGUCUCCCCAUGCGAGAUUAGGACACUGCCAGGU
rnacentral:rRNA from 2 species